AACGCACAUUGCGCCCGUUAGUAUUCUAGCGGGCAUGCCUGUUCGAGCGUCAUUUCAACCCUUAAGCCCUGUUGCUUAGUGUUGGGAGCCUACCGCGGUAGCUCCUCAAAGUCAGUGGCGGAGCCGGUUUCACGCUCUAGACGUAGUAGAUUAUCUCGUCUGCAGCUGGGCCGGUCCCCUGCCGUAAAACACCCAAUUUCAAGGUUGACCUCGAAUCAGGUAGGAAUACCCGCUGAACUUAA
rnacentral:misc_RNA from 1 species